UCGGGCGGGAAGCGAGAGGGGGGAAAAAAAAGGCUUAGGGCGCGAGCCUGUUGGUUCCUGUUCUCAGUCGCGCGGCCCGGGGACCGCUGUUGCGCGAGAGGAAGGCGGGACGCCCAGGCUGGGAAGAAAAGGUCCUAAUACCUCUUGUCACCUGUAAACAGUUAUCUUCAUCAGUAGCAGCACCAGCAACUCCUACUAUAGAUGCAUAAAGAAACUCUAAAAGGAUUAAAAGAAAUUAAUAAAAGGAAUUACCAGUUGGAGUGGUGAUAAGAACUAGGGUGAGUGUGACACUUUUCACUGUCUAUUUUAGAUAUUAUUUGAUUCCUGAGCCGUGUGGAUAUAUGGCCACUUAAAAAUGAAAUAAAGUAUCAAAUAUAAAAAAAUAAAUGAAAGAGGUACCUGGGUGGCUCAGUUGAUUGGGUGUCUGCCUUCUACUCAGGUUAUGAUCUCAAGGUUCUGGGAUUGAGCCCCUAGUUGGGCUCCCUGCUCAGUGGGGGUUUGCCUUCUGCCCCUCCUCCCUGCUUGUGUUCUCUCACUCUCUCAAACAAGUAAAUAAAAUCUUUAAAAAAAUAAAUGAUGAAGAUAAUGAUCAUAUUUAAUCUAAGAAAUUCUGUUUGUUGGUACAACAAAGAAAUGAAAGUUAUUUUGAACUUGUAUGUUGAGGAAUUGUACUUAGAGGAAUUGGUGUCUUUGGUAUAGCUGUUAAGUGCAGUAAUAAUGCAGAAGGCCAUGGUGGCAGUGGACUUGUAUGUAGAGGAAUCGUACUUAGAGGACUUGUAUAUAGAGGAAUUGUACUUAGAGGAAUUAAUGUCUUUGGUAUAGCUGUCAAGUGCAGUAAUAACGCAGAAGGUCACGGUGGUGGUGGUGGAGGCCACAGCAGACAGAUCAGAUGUAGAUUUGCCUCCUUGGGCCCUUUUCAUUUGGGAAGUUUUUCUCUAUCAGGCAGUUUGGGUCAAAGUUGCUUUUGUUCUUUGUUUUAGACUACAAGGCGCAGUGCACAUCAAAUGAUUUUAUCAAAGCUUCUGUUUUGAUGCAAAAUGUUUCAGUUUUCUCCUCUUGGUCUAUGUUGGAUCAACGAAAUAUUUCUUAAUAAUUUCAAGGCAAAUUGGUUCCAGAGAACUAAUGAGUUACUUGCCCACAGCUCACUUAUUCACCAAAAUAAUUAAAUUUGUUAACAAAUAUAUGGAAUUGCAAAUAUUGAAUGGUCUCACUGCUUUGGCCUGGUUCAGUCAUCUUCCUUGUCAAUAUUAACCAUCGUUUCUAUGUGGUUGUAAGUCACUGUCUUUUAAAUUAAUUUGUGAAUGGAAUUGAUAAUUUGCUUACUUAAAAAAUCCCAGCUUCCUCAUUCUAUAUAAAAAAAGACAUCAUUAAUGGAAAGUACUAUUAUUCAUCAUGAACUGUACCAAGAUAAUUUAUAUAAAUUCAACUAAUAUCUUCUAAAUCACAGUGAAAGAUUUAAUUUAAAAAUCGAAGCUAUAAUGCAGAUUCAAUAAUAAUUGUGAAAGUUCUUUGUGAAGUGCAUCAUACAAAUGAAUGGUAUUGUUAUUUUUUUGGCAUGCAUUGUGAUAUAAAAAAUAUUUUAAAAAGGUAGAAAAUGACAUAGAAGAUGAAUGGGCAAUUCAGGUUGGGGAAGAUUGAUGAAAGUAGUUCUAAUAAACAUAAUCAGCUUUCAGCUAGGUAGAAAGGCCCCACAAAUAUUCAGGUUAUUAACUGAUAGUCACCAACCACUUGAUAAUCAUGCUUCUAAUGAGAGUGAGCACUAAUGGCUCAAGGAACUGUGAGUCAAAUUAUGAAGUUUUAUUAAAAUGUUUUCCCCAUUUGUCUUCAAUUAUUUAGAUCCAAUCUAAUUUUUCUUCAAAAUUAAAGUCUGGGGCUCAAGCUAAUUUUUGUGACUGAAUAUUUAAAAAUAGAUGUCCUCUCUACCCAUAAGUAACAUCACAGAGAAAAAGUACAGUGCGUUUCCACAGCACUCUUGUUGAAACACAACCAUUUCUUUCCCCCCAACUUAUUAAAAUAAUGUGCAAUGGAACAAGCAUAACCAAAGCUUUGUCCCUGAACACCAAAAUUUAGAGAGGCUCCAAAUGACUCACCUGCUACUACUCUAAUUACUUCUUAGUAGCUGUAGCUACUUUUCACUUUUGCCCUAACCCUUUGGCUGUUGAACACAGAUAAAGCCAAGAACCAAGGUCAGAGUCUAAGCGAGUGAGGCAUUCAGGGUCCAGAGAAACAACACAUAUUCAACAUUUUGGAUAAUUGUUACAGAACUGUCUCUCAGCCUGGAAUCUCAGGGGCUAUUCAAGAAAUAACCCCUUCCUGGGAUCUGGGCAUCGAGGAUUCAUUUUAUUUUGAUGUGCAGCCCCUGGAUAUCAUUCAACAUUGUUCAGGAGCCUGGUAUGGCUACUUGUAAAAGGAUUUGUGGUGAAUGGCUUGCUAUCUUUCCUGGUUGGAGUGCCCAACCACCAGCCAGUCUUCCUCACCUUCUCCUUCAUCUUCUACCAUUCCUUUUCUCUAUGCCUUUGAUCUUUUCCUCUCUGUCUUUAUUUUUCCAUACAAAAUUUACCUUUCCUUUAAAGCCUCAGUUGUAUAUCAUCUUACUCAUAGGAAAAAAAACCCCAUUCUGAUAUAACUGGUACUUAUGAAUUUAAUAACUUAUUAAUGGGAGUGCCCCAUGUUAAAGCAGUUAUGAGUAUGUCAGGUGGAGUGACUUUUUCCUCAAGGGUAGGUAUUUGGUUGGACGAAAUACAUCUUUAAAUUCCUAAAUGUCUAUGCUGCUACAGUAUGCAGUGAUUUCUCAAUUACCUGUGUAAGAGUAUUGACCUAAUGAAUAAUUUGAAAAUAUUUGGCAUUGGAAUGCAUGGUACAAUUUUUUUUUCUCCCAGUAGCUUAUUACUAAUUAUUUAGUAAUUAUUUAACCUAUUAUUACUAAUUUGGUUGAACUUGUAUUAAAAUAAAUACUUCUCUAGAGUACAUACCAAACUAGAAAUAGUUGGGACAUAGGCAGAAGCCAAAGGGAAAUGAAAAAUGUUCAGAAUCAGAAGACUCAACAUUCAAUUAUUUAAUAUACUUUGCUAUAUUUCAAAAAAGAUUUUGAGGGGGUAAUAGUAACUGUGCCUCAUACUGGAAGCAAUAUGCCUUUUGAGGCCCAAAUGCAAGAGCCAGCUCUUUGUCUAGUGUAGCAUUCUGUUGUCUGAUAAUAACAACAGUAAUCAUUCCAGAGUAGCCUACAGUGUCAAGUACUCUGCUGAAUACUUGAUAUGGUUUCUCUUAAUUAAUCUUCAGAUUAUUUGCUGCAUCAUUUUACAGAUGAGGCUCAGAGAAGUUAAUUAUCUUGCCCAAAGUCAUAUAGCUAGUACCAGGCAGAAGCAUCACUUGGAACCCAGAUUGUGUGGCUCUAACGUUAGUGUUCCUAACACCUUCACCCACUGUUUCUGUUGAUGAAUAUAGCUGUACAGCUAUGACUGCUUUUUGUUUGUUUUUUAUUUUUUAAAAUAUUUUAUUUAUUUGAGAGAGAGAGAAAGAGCAUGCAUGCAAGAGAGCACAAGUGGGGUGAGGAGCAGAGGAAGAAGCAGGCUUCCCUGCCAAGCAGGGAGCCCCAGGUGGGACUUGAUCCCAGGACUCCAGGAUCAUGACCUGAGCCAAAGGCAGAUGCUUAACCAACUGAGCCACCCAGGCACCCUGUGACUGCUUUAUAGAAAAAAACAAAAACCCAUAAAAACAACUGAGUAUUUUUAAAGUGGGUCUCAGAGCUUGAAGUACUGUCUACACUGAAUGUAAAGGCUUUGUUAACAACAAAUUAUCCUCUCUGAGAAAGGGAUUGUGUUCAUCUUACCAGGACAGUUCUGAGAAACAAGUGGAACCCCAAACCUUUAGAUUGCCCAGACUCACUAGUUCCAGACUAGUGUAAAGUCUUGAGAUCCUAUUAUAUCCACAUGGUCCUGGCUUGACCAAAGGACCUGGCUGUGGAACUCUUUGUCCAGAGUUACACCUUCCUGUUUGCCAUUACAUUUCUUGCCUUGUAUUAUCCCCUGCCAAAUUAUUUCCCUCAAAUAUAGGUCUUUAAUCAGCUAUGGGCUGUGCCCUAGCCUUAGGAUGGGAAGUACCACUUGUGGGUCUUAAAACUCACCCUCUUCCUAGGCUCAGCUGUCCUGAUGACAGAGGACAUUGUCAUUGUCCUCUGACUUCAAUGUCCUGGAUCUCCCUGCUACUCAUCCUCCCCAGUUACAGCUGCUGGGAACUCAAUGAUGAUUGAGCCCAUCUCUGGUCUUUGGCACAAUUUCAACCUAUGUGUACCCUCCCAGAAGAAGACUCCUUUGUGCCAGUUGUUUACCUACACCUCUCUUUCCUGUCCUGCUGCCUACCCUCCACCACUCUCCUGUAUCUUACUAUAGUCAGAAUCAAAGAUCAAUGAAUAUUAAAUUUCAGCUUUUAGCAGCUAGUAUCAAUACUUCCUAUAGUGGUGAGGUCCUUGGUAAUUACUCAAAACGGUUAGAUUCAAUUAUAUGCAGUUUUGUUUUUUAAUGGAGGAGGAAAAACAACAAACCCAGACCUAUAGUAACAUGAAUCUUCCUGAGCACGCACUCACCCGCCUUGUGGAAAUUACUUUGCAGAAACAAUGCACAGUAUCUAACUCAUGUCAGUGCAAAUCAUUACUUUGUCAAAAAGCAGGGACUUAUUGCUUGUGUUAUUUUAAAAUUGUUUUCAGCCUGAGAUUGGCAUACCUAAUUGCUUUUUAAAUACACUUGUUAAAGCAUCAAGGAUAUUGCUGAUGGUAUUUAAACGCCUUUGGGUGGGCUGCUGUCAUUAAGAAGCAAGGUUGGCAUUUUCUUCUCUAACCUCGAACUUGAUGGUUUUAAUAUCUAGGCUAUUAAAUUUACACCAUGAAGAACUCAGGCAGAUAAAUCUUUUACCAAAGCAAUUUAAGUAAACCAAACCAAACCAAACCAAACCAAACCAAACAAAACAAAAAAAAGGAAGGGGUAAAGCAUUUAACUUUCAGAUUACAUAUUCUCCAGGGAUUGUCCUCUAUUUUUGUGGCACUGCACAGACUCAUUUGAGCCCACAGAAGAUGCCACAUUGGAGCUUGACUUUUUGUGGAAUCAGCUUCUGAAUUCAACCUUGAAGUACAUGUUUUGGCUUCAAGUGUGGUGUUAAUGAAUUACUGAAGAAAUUUCAGUGGGAGGUAAAAAUCCUAAAUUCUCUUUCAUUAUUUUAUUUUAUGUUUUGGAGUUCAAAAGUUAGCUCUUUUGG
rnacentral:lncRNA from 1 species